UUCCGGUUGAUCCUGCCGGACCUGACUGCUAUCGGAUUGAUACUAAGCCAUGCGAGUCAUUGUAGCAAUACAAGGCAGACGGCUCAGUAACGCGUAGUCAACCUAACCUAUGGACGGGAAUAACCUCGGGAAACUGAGAAUAAUGCCCGAUAGAACACUAUGCCUGGAAUGGUUUGUGUUCCAAAUGAUUUAUCGCCGUAGGAUGGGACUGCGGCCUAUCAGUUUGUUGGUGAGGUAAUGGCCCACCAAGACUAUUACAGGUACGGGCUCUGAGAGGAGUGGCCCGGAGAUGGGUACUGAGACACGGACCCAGGCCCUAUGGGGCGCAGCAGGCGAGAAAACUUUGCAAUGUGCGAAAGCACGACAAGGUUAAUCCGAGUGGUUUCUGCUAAAGGAACCUUUUGUCGGUCCUAGAAACACCGAUGAAUAAGGGGUGGGCAAGUUCUGGUGUCAGCCGCCGCGGUAAAACCAGCACCUCAAGUGGUCAGGAUGAUUAUUGGGCCUAAAGCAUCCGUAGCCUGCUUUGUUAGUUUUCGGUUAAAUCUGUGCGCUCAACGUACAGGCUGCCGGGAAUACUGCAAAGCUAGGGAGUGGGAGAGGUAGGCGGUACUCGGUAGGAAGGGGUAAAAUCCUUUGAUCUAUUGAUGACCACCUGUGGCGAAGGCGGUCUACCAGAACACGUCCGACGGUGAGGGAUGAAAGCUGGGGGAGCAAACCGGAUUAGAUACCCGGGUAGUCCCAGCUGUAAACCAUGCAAACUCAGUGAUGCAUUGGCUUGUGGCCAAUGCAGUGCUGCAGGGAAGCCGUUAAGUUUGCCGCCUGGGAAGUACGUACGCAAGUAUGAAACUUAAAGGAAUUGGCGGGGGAGCCCCACAAGGGGUGAAGGCUGCGGUUCAAUUGGAGUCAACGCCGGG
rnacentral:rRNA from 1 species